rnacentral:rRNA from 1 species
UACGGAGGGAGCUAGCGUUGUUCGGAGUUACUGGGCGUAAAGCGUACGUAGGCGGUUAUUCAAGUCAGAGGUGAAAGCCCGGGGCUCAACCCCGGAACUGCCUUUGAAACUAGAUAGCUAGAAUCUUGGAGAGGUCAGUGGAAUUCCGAGUGUAGAGGUGAAAUUCGUAGAUAUUCGGAAGAACACCAGUGGCGAAGGCGACUGACUGGACAAGUAUUGACGCUGAGGUACGAAAGCGUGGGGAGCAAACAGG